UACGUAGGCGGAAAAUUAAGUCAGUGGUGAAAUCCUGCAGCUUAACUGUAGAACUGUCAUUGAUACUGGUUUCCUUGAAUACAGUUGAGGUAGGCGGAAUGUGUAAUGUAGCGGUGAAAUGCUUAGAUAUUACACAGAACACCGAUUGCGAAGGCAGCUUACUAAACUGUUAUUGACGCUGAGGUACGAAAGCGUGGGGAGCGAACAGGAUUAGAUACCCUGGUAGUCC
rnacentral:rRNA from 1 species